AUGUUCCGACCUGCACGAAUGGCGUAACGACUUCCCCGCUGUCUCCAACAUAGACUCAGCGAAAUUGAAUUACCGGUCAAGAUGCCGGUUACCCGCGGUUAGACGGAAAGACCCCGUGCACCUUUACUACAGCUUCACACUGGCAUUAGGCCGAACAUGUGCAGGAUAGGUGGUGGGCUUUGAAGCGUGAACGCCAGUUUGCGUGGAGCCUCCCUUGAGAUACCACCCUUGCUCUGCUUGAUGUCUAACCGCGGUCCAUUAUCUGGAUCCGGGACCCUGUGUGGCGGGUAGUUUGACUGGGGCGGUCGCCUCCUAAAUCGUAACGGAGGCGCGCGAAGGUUGGCUCAGAGCGGU
rnacentral:rRNA from 1 species